AUCCACAUCAGUGUGUGAGUGGUGUCCAGAGCAGAUUAAGGAAAAAAAGACUCAUAUUUCAAAGGCAAGGAAGACCUUGGAUGUGCUGGUGUGUGCUUUGGAGUGGAAACCCAGCACAGCCUGAGUGGUACACUCAGAAAUGGGUAAUUCCAUUUCUUAUCUAGAAGAACACCAUGAACAGGUUAAGGGGGCAGAAGUGCAGCAGUUUGGCCAAGCUAUUCCAGAUGCUCCAGUUUCAGUUUACCCACAUUUCUCAUUGCAACAUCCUAUGAAAAGGAAAACCUCACCAAUAAUUUACAAAGAGAAUCACAGAAUCAUUAAAGUUGGGAAAGACUCCCAAACUCAUCAAGCCCAGCUUUCUAAACACAAUUGAGGGAAAUAUUUACAGUAGCUUUAUUAUUAAGAACGUUGCUGAAGAAAAACAUAAAAACAGAAUAAAAAUAACUGAAAAUUAUAACA
rnacentral:lncRNA from 1 species